rnacentral:snRNA from 1 species
GGAUGUGAGGGCUAUCUGGCUGUGACAUCUGCCACCCCAUUGAUUGCCAGGAUUGAUUUGGCUGAUCUGGCUGGCUAGGGGAGUGUUCCUUCCCUCCCUCCUUCCCUCCCUCCCUCCAUGUGAGUCCCUCCCGAAGGUGUGGGCUCGGUCAAAGCUGGGGGCUCGGUUGAGCACCCCCAUAGAGGAGGACUGUUCUUCAGUCCAGGGCCUAUGAGUAGCUGCUCUCCCCUGCUAGAACCUCCAAGCAAGGUCUCUAGAAAUGCUUCUACUGCACAUGGCUUUUUCAUGUUCCUUGAUUAGUCAUAUACAUCAUAUAAAAUAAAGUUGAGGCUGCUCAUUUCAGAUUCUU